UGUAAGAUUGAAGCAUCCACGAAGAUCCAAUAAUCGAAGCCCAGUAAGAUAUGCAAUUGAUGGAGGCAAUCCUCUUAUGCCACUUCCUGAUAGUCUCAAAACCCGUAGUGAUUCCAUCUCGACUUCUAUUUCCGGGAAACUCUCAAGGCUUUUGCAAUUACUAAGAUCAAGUUCUUCAAGAGAUUUCAGUCUAAGUGUUGCAAACCUUGUAAGAUUGAAGCAUCCACGAAGAUCCAAUAAUCGAAGCCCAGUAAGAUAUGCAAUUGAUGGAGGCAAUCCUCUUAUGCCACUUCCUGAUAGUCUCAAAAACCGUAGUGAUUCCAUCUCGACUUCUAUUUCCGGGAAACUCUCAAGGCUUUUGCAAUCACUAAGAUCAAGGUUUUUAAGAGAUUUCAUUCUAAGUGUUGCAAACCUUGUAAGAUUGAAGCAUCCACGAAGAUCCAAUAAUCGAAGCCCAGUAAGAUAUGCAAUUGAUGGAGGCAAUUCUCUUACGCCACUUCCUGAUAUGUUCAAACCCCAUAGUGAUUCCAUCUCGACUUCUAUUUCCGGGAAACUCUCAAGGCUUUUGCAAUUACUAAGAUCAAGGUUUUCAAGAGAUUUCAGUCUAAGUGUUGCAAACCUUGUAAGAUUGAAGCAUCCACGAAGAUCCAAUAAUCGAAGCCCAGUAAGAUAUGCAAUUGAUGGAGGCAAUCCUCUUAUGCCACUUCCUGAUAGUCUCAAAACCCGUAGUGAUUCCAUCUCGACUUCUAUUUCCGGGAAACUCUCAAGGCUUUUGCAAUUACUAAGAUCAAGGUUUUCAAGAGAUUUCAGUCUAAGUGUUGCAAACCUUGUAAGAUUGAAGCAUCCACGAAGAUCCAAUAAUCGAAGCCCAGUAAGAUAUGCAAUUGAUGGAGGCAAUCCUCUUAUGCCACUUCCUGAUAGUCUCAAAACCCGUAGUGAUUCCAUCUCGACUUCUAUUUCCGGGAAACUCUCAAGGCUUUUGCAAUUACUAAGAUCAAGGUUUUCAAGAGAUUUCAGUCUAAGUGUUGCAAACCUUGUAAGAUUGAAG
rnacentral:lncRNA from 1 species